CUGGCGGCAGGCCUAAAACAUGCAAGUCGAACGGAUCCUUCGGGAUUAGUGCGGACGGGUGAGUAACACGUGGAACGUGCCUUUGGUUCGGAACAACUCAGGGAAACUUGAGCUAAUACCGAAUGUGCCCUUCGGGGGAAAGAUUUAUCGCCAUUAGAGCGGCCCGCGUCUGAUUAGCUUGUUGGUGAGGUAAAGGCUCACCAAGGCGACGAUCAGUAGCUGGUCUGAGAGGAUGAUCAGCCACACUGGGACUGAGACACGGCCCAGACUCCUACGGGAGGCAGCAGUUAGGAAUCUUGCGCAAUGGGGGAAACCCUGACGCAGCCAUGCCGCGUGAAUGAUGAAGGUCUUAGGAUUGUAAAAUUCUUUCAGCGGGGACGAUAAUGACGGUACCCGCAGAAGAAGCCCCGGCUAACUUCGUG
rnacentral:rRNA from 1 species